rnacentral:rRNA from 1 species
ACGGGUGAGUAACGCGUGGGAAUCUACCUUUUGCUACGGAACAACAGUUGGAAACGACUGCUAAUACCGUAUGUGCCCUUCGGGGGAAAGAUUUAUCGGCAAAGGAUGAGCCCGCGUUGGAUUAGCUAGUUGGUGAGGUAAAGGCUCACCAAGGCGACGAUCCAUAGCUGGUCUGAGAGGAUGAUCAGCCACACUGGGACUGAGACACGGCCCAGACUCCUACGGGAGGCAGCAGUGGGGAAUAUUGGACAAUGGGCGCAAGCCUGAUCCAGCCAUGCCGCGUGAGUGAUGAAGGCCCUAGGGUUGUAAAGCUCUUUCACCGGUGAAGAUAAUGACGGUAACCGGAGAAGAAGCCCCGGCUAACUUCGUGCCAGCAGCCGCGGUAAUACGAAGGGGGCUAGCGUUGUUCGGAUUUACUGGGCGUAAAGCGCACGUAGGCGGAUUUUUAAGUCAGGGGUGAAAUCCCGGGGCUCAACCCCGGAACUGCCUUUGAUACUGGAAGUCUUGAGUAUGGUAGAGGUGAGUGGAAUUCCGAGUGUAGAGGUGAAAUUCGUAGA